rnacentral:miRNA from 1 species
UUGUUCUAAAUACUUCCUUUUUCACAAUAUAAGUCAUUCUAGCAUUUCCCACAUUCAUAUUGAUGUUAAUGAAUCUAGAUUGAUGUUACAUCAAUAUGAAUGUGAGAAAUGUUAGAAUGACUUACAUUGUGAAACGGAGGGAGUAGUUGCAA